AAGAUUGGCUAGUGCAAUGUAAUGCUGACGAGUCAUGUGACGUUGAUGUGCGGGAAACGAGAACCGGAUCCGAAUGAGGCAGUAAUCAUUUCUCUUUAAUUAAAUUGGUUUAUCUUAUAAAUGAGAUAAACCGUAUUAAUCAAAGAAUCAAGUUUCAGGCAAAAACAUAACAAACAAAUAUCUAAUGUGGAAAUAACGGCCACAGUUCACUUAGAAUGACGAGAUCUGACAUGAUUACAGAAUGCCGACAUGAUUGAUUUAACUGACAAAUCUGUGCACCAUUGGUAGCAAUGGAUGCUCAAGUUCCUCAAGGUUCAGCCUAAAGAGAACGAGGGUUAUGAUCCCCAAAUACGUCGGGUCUUAUUCGCAUCACCCCCUGGUUUCAGGGGAGUAAAGAUUAACAGUUUCUAUAACAUAAAACUAUAUAUGCACACUGAAUACAUAGGCCAUACUAUGUAUCAUAAAACAGUCAAGCUCGAACUGGUACCAAUUCAGAACCGGCCACUCAGGGUAGACAUGAGAUGGUCUCAACAGAACUUCCUGCGGUACCGCAGGAAAGUAAAAACCUAAUAUGAUCCGACGUACAAUUACGGGAAACGAUCAUAACCCCUUAAUCUUGCCACUUGAGUGAGUCUAUACACACUCAUCAGACCCCCCCCCCCCUUUCCACAACCUAAAGGUCCAUUUAAGUGAACUAGCUAAGAAGGCAUAAGUCUUUGUUAAUACGUUUGAAUCUUGGACAAUCAUAGUUUUCCUUUUGUAAUAGCUUUGUUAUAAUGGUGCUGUUAUCCUUCCAUAAUAUCCCCUCAGCUGCAGAGAGAUUUGUUUUUGAAGAUAUCACUUCUUUUAUUGUAUUAUCCAUGUUAUAUAUAUAUAUUUAAAUCAUCAUAAAAACGCAAUAUUUUAGCAGUAAUACAUCCACCGAUCAAUGGGUUUACUAAAAGAGUUAUCUCGCCUCAACCGGCUUAGUUGAACAAAUUUAUUCUAAAGCACUUAUGUUUGGUACUUAUACUUAAAAUAUUUUUAAUAUAUAUAAUGCGAUAAAUCAGAUAGUUUCUUCAAGAGAUACACAGUCUAAUAAAUAAAAUUGAACAUCUGUGUACAAAUUCAGAGAUUUGGGUAAUAACUAGACUGAUUGGUCACUGCAAAAGUACAAUGCAAGAUGGUGGUAUACCAUGAAUCUACCCAAUUGCUUUGUUAAUCUGUAAUAGGCACUAAUAUUAGUUUUCCAUUCUCAAUUUUAUUAUCCUCUACAAAGUUUACGAAAAUACAUUACCUGUAUAUAUAAUUUAUGCUAUUCUAGGCACCCCUUCAAAGUCGUGUACAUUUGAAUAUAUAUUUAGUUUAAACAAGUAACGUGACCAAUAUUUUGAAACCCAACGGCAGGGAUGUAUAACCAUAUAACGUACACUUAAAAAAAAAUAAAAUUUCAUAUCAAUCAAUAUAUAUAGAAAGUAUAACACUUCCUGUACUAAAUCGGCAAUCACAUGCAUUCCUAGUACUAGUACUUAAAAUUCGGAUACAGUUCCAUGGUAUUACUUUAAGUAAUGGGUGUAUAUAGAUGCAUAGUUGAUUAAUUCCGACUAGAAUUAAAAAGAUUCAGCUCUGUAUAUAGAUAAGAAUGCUAAAUGUUCCUUUUAAUAGAAGGAAAUAGAUCAAGAGUAUUUGAAAUAAAUUUAAAAUUCAUUGAGUCUCCCAUCUGGAUAAUAUGCGUGUUUGUUUGUAAAAGUCCUUAACAGUAACUUAAAUACCGCAUAUUUGUUUUGUUUCUAAAAAUAGACGUGGGGAAGCCCAUAGUUCGUGCUGACAUGUAAAAUAAAUGUGAUAGUAAAAUACAAAGGUAUCCUCAAUGUUUACAUACCCGUGUUAGAUGAUGAUACAAUCAAAAUAUUAAAAACACUACAUGUAUAUAUACAAUAACAUUAUCGCACUUCAAAGUAAAGAGGAUAUUGUGUACCAUGCUCUGUCUGCUGCUUCGUGAGUUUAUAAAGUAAUUUGAUAAUUGUGUUAAAAGUGCACAUAAUUCCCUUAUUUGCUCUAAGUUGACUUGUUGGUAAACUAAUUGCCCUGUCCACGAGCUUUAGUGAGCUAUCUGAAACCUAUACAGACUAACAGAUCAUAUGUUAAGGUCUUUUUUUUUAAAUAUCAACUCAGCUUUGCUUGUAUAACUAUAUUUGCUUGAAUAACUAUAUUAACUCUAUUUGCCUAAGUCAGAAAAUUUACGGUCGGACAUGAUAUGUAUGAUUCAACAACGUAAACAUGAGCUCUGUAGAUCUCUCAAGUUCAACUGACUUGAUAUUUUAAUUUAUAUAAAAAUCAACUAUCAAAUUUUAUAUAAGCAUAUUUUACAACAAGAAC
rnacentral:lncRNA from 1 species